rnacentral:rRNA from 1 species
CCUACGGGAGGCAGCAGUAGGGAAUCUUCCGCAAUGGACGAAAGUCUGACGGAGCAACGCCGCGUGAGCGAUGAAGGCCUUCGGGUCGUAAAGCUCUGUUGUCAGGGAAGAACAAGUACCGGAGUAACUGCCGGUACCUUGACGGUACCUGACCAGAAAGCCACGGCUAACUACGUGCCAGCAGCCGCGGUAAUACGUAGGUGGCAAGCGUUGUCCGGAAUUAUUGGGCGUAAAGCGCGCGCAGGCGGUUCCUUAAGUCUGAUGUGAAAGCCCCCGGCUCAACCGGGGAGGGUCAUUGGAAACUGGGGAACUUGAGUGCAGAAGAGGAGAGCGGAAUUCCACGUGUAGCGGUGAAAUGCGUAGAGAUGUGGAGGAACACCAGUGGCGAAGGCGGCUCUCUGGUCUGUAACUGACGCUGAGGCGCGAAAGCGUGGGGAGCGAACAGGAUUAGAUACCCUGGUAGUCCACGCCGUAAACGAUGGGCACUAGGUGUGGGGGGUAUCCACUCCUCCCGUGCCGUAGCUAACGCAUUAAGUGCCCCGCCUGGGGAGUACGGCCGCAAGGUUAAAACUCAAAGGAAUUGACGG